AUCUCCUUCCCUUUUUUUACGCCUCUGAGGAUCGGGCGAAAACUGAGCCGACCCGAAAUCCUCCCGAUUCAAUUUUCUUACCAUUUUGAUCUCCUGCUUGUUCAUAGAUCAAUCCUAAAAACGUCAAUCGAACUCUUUUUUUUCUUUAAUCCUACCUAGUUUCAUCGUUCAGCUUUCCGAUUUCCUAAUUAAUCCCAAUUUUUUCAUCCUAAAUUUUUGGCCAUGAGAGGCUAAUUCCUUUUUUCAUAGUCUCUGAUGGCUUAAUAAUACACAAGUUUCUUGGUCCGCUGCAAUAAUAAGGAGAUGAUUUUAAGGUUUUUUGAAGUUGGAAGAGCAAUAAUAAGGAGAUGAUUUUAAGGUUUUUGGAGUUGGAAGAAAAUCUCAGUCCUUGCAACACCUAAACCCUAAACACGCCGCAAACCCUAUGAGAUAAUGAUUAGCAAGGUAUUCGGUGGAGCUCAGUUAAUUUUUACAGUGGAGAAUUUUUGUGUAAUUCAAUUCACCCCUAUCUGAUUCUGUUUGAUAGCCUCAUCCCAUUUUCUUUUGAGUUUGGCGGUUAAUUGAGUCUGUCUUCUAUCCUUUUGGUUCCUUUGAAUGAUUUCUCCUAAACCCAUGAAUUGAAAUUGGUUUUUUAUUCUUUAAUCAGUAAUAAUAGUUAUCAUUUUAGUUCCGUGGUAUUUCUAUUGGAGUUCUUCUUCUUUUUGAAUAUAUCAACUAUCAAGCUUUCUUCUAAUAAACUCUGUGAAUUUGACUUCAGUUUUUAUGUUGUGCAUCUCCUUUUUCUCUAUAAUUUUCUAGUCCCUUUCAACCUCAAGAAAAACUAUCAAUCUUUGUAGCUUUGCGUAUGUGCUCUUGUAUCACCAGGUCUGUUGUUAGGCACGGUGAUGUUUAUUGAUUUUACUUUUAGAUUCAAACUCAGUGAACUUGAGUAUUGGUUUUAAGUUGGUUUCUAGAUGAGAUAUUGCAUAUAUCUCAUGAGGAUAGAAUUGCUUUCGUUGUCAGAAAUGCUUUUCUUUUAUUGAAAGUUCUGAGGAUUUUGUCUUAUGUCCUUAUCUUCCGUCAUGAGGUUUCUGGUUUAAGUUUAUAGUUAAUUUUGAGAGGCAUAGGAUCCAUUCCUCUGGAUUAGUAGAGUAUUUGGAGUUAACUUCUUGUUAAGUGUGGGAUUUUUUGAUAUUCUCUUACUUUGAAUUCCAUAAUCCGAAAAGUUUUCUUUUCUCCUUUAUCCUUUUUCUCAUGCCUAAUCAAGUUUCGGAUAGGCUAAUUUGUAUCCUAACCAAUUUUCAGUUAUUAAAAGGUAGAUUUCCUUUUAAUCCCAAGCCAAACUCAGCUUUGGAAGCAUUGCGGGUUUUUAUCUUUAUUGGAAAUGUUCUAGGUCAGUUUAGGGGUGAAUUCUGAAUUGUAUACCUUUCCUUGGUUUUUUUUUUGUGGUUUGUGGUUUUUGGUUUGCUUGAGCACAAGAUAGCGGGGUAGCGGGGUACAUAUACAGCUGAACAGAAGAUCAUUGUUAUUAAUCCUGAUGAAAAGCAACGGGGAAAUAAGGCUAGCUCUAGCAGCAAGGAUAUCAUCAUCCAGACAAUCGACUUCAUAGGAAUACAAGACGCGGGAUAUGAAGGCGCUCCAUUCACAUGGUCAAACAACAGAAAAGGAGAAGCAAACAUAUGCGAAAGAAUUGACAGAGCAUUGACCUCAUUUCUAUGGUAUCAAAAAUUCCCGGACACCAAGGUAAUUCAUCUACCUAGAUUUGGGUCAGAUCAUACACCUAUCUUAUUAGAUACAAACCCUGAAAAUUGAAACUUCAGAAACCUUUUAGAUGUAUUAGAUCUUGGCAAUCACAUUCCACUCUUCAUGAGGUAGUCAAAGCAUCCUGGGAAUUACACUCCAAUACCACAACAAAUGAAAACUGAAAAAGCGGGGGUCUAACAACACCACCCAAUAUUUCGCUUAGCAAUCUGUAUGGAAAAACUCGAAUAUACUUUUAAGAGAA